GACGAACGCUGGCGGCGUGCUUAACACAUGCAAGUCGAACGAGGUCCCAUCCGAUCUUCGGAUUGGUGAAGACCUAGUGGCGAACGGGUGCGUAACACGUGAGAAACCUGCCCCCGGUCUCUGGGAUAACAGUUGGAAACGACUGCUAAUACCGGAUGCCGUCGGACCGUCGCAUGGCGGACCGACGAAAGGGUUACCGGACCGGGAGGGUCUCGCGGCCUAUCAGCUAGUUGGUGAGGUAACGGCUCACCAAGGCAUCGACGGGUAGCUGGUCUGAGAGGAUGAUCAGCCACACUGGGACUGAGACACGGCCCAGACUCCUACGGGAGGCAGCAGUGGGGAAUAUUGCACAAUGGGCGAAAGCCUGAUGCAGCAACGCCGCGUGCGGGAUGAAGGCCCUAGGGUUGUAAACCGCUUUCAGCAGGGAAGAAAAUGACGGUACCUGUAGAAGAAGGUGCGGCCAACUACGUG
rnacentral:rRNA from 1 species